rnacentral:rRNA from 1 species
AACGAACGCUGGCGGCAGGCUUAACACAUGCAAGUCGAACGCCCCGCAAGGGGAGUGGCAGACGGGUGAGUAACGCGUGGGAACGUGCCCUUCGCUUCGGAAUAGCCCCGGGAAACUGGGAGUAAUACCGAAUACGCCGUAUUGGGAAAGAUUUAUCGGCGAAGGAUCGGCCCGCGUUGGAUUAGCGAGUUGGAGGUGUAAUGGACCCCCAAGGCUACGACCCAUAGCUGGUCUGAGAGGAUGAUCAGCCACACUGGGACUGAGACACGGCCCAGACUCCUACGGGAGGCAGCAGUGGGGAAUCUUGGACAAUGGGCGCAAGCCUGAUCCAGCCAUGCCGCGUGAGUGAAGAAGGCCUUAGGGUUGUAAAACUCUUUCGCCGGAGAAGAUAAUGACGGUAUCCGGAGAAGAAGCCCCGGCUAACUUCGUGCCAGCCGCCGCUGUAA